ACUCAAAGGAAUUGACGGGGACUCGCACAAGCGGUGGAGCAUGUGGUUCAAUUCGACACAAAACGAAAAACCUUACCCGGGCUUGAAAUGCACUUGAAGACAUCUGGAAACAGGUGUUGUCCCUUAAAAGACAGGUGCACAGGUGCUGCAUGGUUGUCGUCAGCUCGUGCUUUGAAGUGUUCCCUUAAGUGGGGUAACGAGCGCAACCCCUAUCGUGUGUUAGAUAUGUCACACGAGACUGCCCCCUCUUCUGUAUCGGAUCAAUCGAUCGGAUCUAGAAGAGGGGGAGGAAGGAGGGGAUGACGUCAAAUCAGCAUGGCCCUCUGAUGCCCGGGGCCACACACGUGCUACAAUGGGCGAGACAAUGGGUUGCCAACGCGCAAGCGGGAGCUAAUCCCAUCAAACUCGUCCUCAGUUCAGAUUGAAGGCUGCAACUCGCCUUCAUGAAGUUGGAAUCGCUAGUAAUCGCGGAUCAGCAUGCCGCGGUGAAUACGUUCUCGAGUCCUGUACACACCGCCCGU
rnacentral:rRNA from 1 species